GUUCUCUGGAACUUAGGAGUCAUUGCCACCUGUAGCUGGACCUACAAGGUGGCUGCUUGAUGGAAGAGGGGACCAUGGAAGAGAGUGUGUAGGUAGGAGUUGAGAUUGUGGAGGAGACAUAGCCAAUGCUAGAGAUACCAUCUGAAGCGGGGGAAAAGGAGAAAUUCCCUGGUUUCUCCUUUCCUCUCAUUCUCCAGUUUCCUGCUAGUGUUACCAAUGGACCAUACCUAGUUGGACAUCAGCUGGCAAGGGAGCUUGAAAAUAUCACUUAAAGGGAAGAUGGGAAAUGAAUCUGAGAAUAAACAGGCUGAUCCACUUUCUAACAAUGGACCUCACAGGGCCGUGGCAUCUCUUCCUCUCCUCUUGAGCCAACUGAUGAACAGCUUUCAGGCCCCUCAGAUGCCCAUCCUUCUGUGCCUCAUGCUAGUUCUUCAGCUGGGGCUGGACUAGCCUCCAGCAUCAAACAUUUGAAUACCUUGGCAGAUGCUGCUGAAACCAGUGUGAGAACCUCAAGCCAGACUGGAUCACCUCAUGCUUACUUCACGGAGCAGAAAGCUGGCGCCCAUCACCUGGUUCAGAGUUUCUUUCUCUACUUCUCUCAUCCCUGAGGGCCACGAACCUGCACACUUCACUCUCUAACAAUUUGUAGCCCGGGAUUUCUUUUCAGAAGGUGAAAGGAUCCCAUGGAAAACUUGUCAAGUCACGUAGCCAGAGCAUCUGCAGAAGAGGAAAUCUUGACCUGAAAUGACCACAGAACCAAAGAUCGAUCCUCCUUCCCACAGAACCCAAGGACUGGGGCACGACUGGAACUUGAAAGUCAGACGCUUAUUAGAAGCGAGAGGUCCCUCAUUUCGGAAGAUCUGGUGUUAAAGUUCUUCCUCAUCUCAUCAAAAAUGUUUAGAACUCUAUCAUGGAAGUUUAGAACCUCAUCAUCAAUGUUUAAAACCUUACCAUAGAUGCUUGAAGCCCACCAGUCAAAACCUGUCCUGCCAACAUUUCCUCGUGCCAGCCUGUUCUCAGUAACCUCUUAAAUUUCACCCCAAAUCCUGAAUUGAGGAGACAUAUCUGAAGGCACAAGUCCCCUUUCUCCCUGCAGGUUGAGCUCACAGAAUAAAGCUGAUCUCUUUUCCCAAAGGCUGAUGCCAUAAUUAAUUGGUCAUUUAUGUGCACCGGGCAAGUGAACCCCAAUUAUG
ensembl:lncRNA